GAUGAACGCUGGCGGCGUGCCUAAUACAUGCAAGUCGAGCGAACGGACGAGAAGCUUGCUUUUCUGAUGUUAGCGGCGGACGGGUGAGUAACACGUGGAUAACCUACCUAUAAGACUGGGAUAACUUCGGGAAACCGGAGCUAAUACCGGAUAAUAUUUUGAACCGCAUGGUUCAAAAGUGAAAGACGGUCUUUCUGUCACUUAUAGCUGGAUCCGCGCUGCAUUAGCUAGUUGGUAAGGUAACGGCUUACCAAGGCAACGAUGCAUAGCCGACCUGAGAGGGUGAUCGGCCACACUGGAACUGAGACACGGUCAAGACGCCUACGGGAGGCAGCAGUAGGGAAUCUUACGCAAUGGGCGAAAGCCUGACGGAGCAACGCCGAGUGAGUGAUGAAGGUCUUGGGAGCGUAAAACUCUGUUAUUGGUGAAGAACAUAUGUGUAAGUAACUGUGCAGAGCUUGACGGUACCUAAUAAGAAAGCAACGGCUAACUACGUG
rnacentral:rRNA from 1 species